GGUCAAGUGACUAAGUGCAUGUGGUGGAUGCCUUGGCGAUUACAGGCGACGAAGGACGUGAUAGCCUGCGAUAAGCUUCGGGGAGCUGGCAAAUUAGCUUUGAUCCGGAGAUUUCCGAAUGGGGAAACCCACUCCGCAAGGAGUAACUCUGACUGAAUACAUAGGUCAUUGUGGCGAACCGGGUGAACUGAAACAUCUCAGUAGCUCGAGGAAAAGACAUCAACCGAGAUUCCGAAAGUAGUGGCGAGCGAAAUCGGAGUAGCCCUCGCGUUUUAGCAGUUUGCAUAUCAGAACGGAAUGGAAAGUCCGGCCACAGCGGGUGAUAGCCCCGUAUGAGAAAUGUAAAUUGUGGAACUAGGCGCGAAUAGAGUAGGGCGGGACACGUGAAAUCCUGUCUGAAUAUGGGGGGACCAUCCUCCAAGGCUAAAUACUCGUAAUCGACCGAUAGUGAACAAGUACCGUGAGGGAAAGGCGAAAAGAACCCCGGGAGGGGAGUGAAAUAGAUCCUGAAACCGCAUGCAUACAAAAAGUCGGAGCCCGCAAGGGUGACGGCGUACCUUUUGUAUAAUGGGUCAGCGACUUACAUUCAGUGGCGAGGUUAACCGAAUAGGGAAGCCGUAGAGAAAUCGAGUCCGAAUAGGGCGAAUAGUCGCUGGGUGUAGACCCGAAACCAAGUGAUCUAUCCAUGGCCAGGAUGAAGGUACCGUAACAGGUGCUGGAGGUCCGAACCGACUAGUGUUGCAAAACUAGCGGAUGAGCUGUGGAUAGGGGUGAAAGGCUAAACAAACUUGGAAAUAGCUGGUUCUCUCCGAAAACUAUUUAGGUAGUGCCUCAAGUAUUACCUGCGGGGGUAGAGCACUGUUUAGGCUAGGGGGUCAUGGCGACUUACCAAACCUAUGCAAACUCCGAAUACCGCAGAGUACAGCUUGGGAGACAGAGCACCGGGUGCUAACGUCCGGACUCAAGAGGGAAACAACCCAGACCGCCAGCUAAGGUCCCUAAAAUUGGCUAAGUGGGAAACGAAGUGGGAAGGCUAAAACAGUCAGGAUGUUGGCUUAGAAGCAGCCAUCCUUUAAAGAAAGCGUAAUAGCUCACUGAUCGAGUCGUCCUGCGCGGAAGAUGUAACGGGGCUAAGCCAGUUACCGAAGCUGCGGAUGCAUAGCAAUAUGCGUGGUAGGAGAGCGUUCUGUAAGCCUGUGAAGGUAGGUUGUGAAGCCUGCUGGAGGUAUCAGAAGUGCGAAUGCUGACAUGAGUAGCGUUAAAGGGGGUGAAAAGCCCCCUCGCCGAAAGCGCAAGGUUUCCUACGCAACGUUCAUCGGCGUAGGGUGAGUCGGCCCCUAAGGCGAGGCAGAGAUGCGUAGCUGAUGGGAAACAGGUCAAUAUUCCUGUACCGAUUGCAAGUGCGAUGUGGGGACGGAGAAGGUUAGCUCAGCCGGGUGUUGGAUGUCCCGGUUCAAGCGUGUAGUCGUGCUCUUUAGGCAAAUCCGGAGAGCUUAGAUGAGGCGUGAUAACGAGGAGGCUUGCCUCCGAAGUGAGUGAUACCCUGCUUCCAGGAAAAGCCACUAAGCUUCAGCUUGCAACGACCGUACCGCAAACCGACACUGGUGCGCGAGAUGAGUAUUCUAAGGCGCUUGAGAGAACUCUGGAGAAGGAACUCGGCAAAUUGACACCGUAACUUCGGAAGAAGGUGUGCCUUUAGUAGGUGAACCAUUUACUUGGGGAGCCCAAUGAGGCCGCAGAGAAUCGGUGGCUGCAACUGUUUAUUAAAAACACAGCACUCUGCAAAGACGAAAGUCGACGUAUAGGGUGUGACUCCUGCCCGGUGCUGGAAGAUUAAAUGAUGGGGUGCAAGCUCUUGACUGAAGUCCCAGUAAACGGCGGCCGUAACUAUAACGGUCCUAAGGUAGCGAAAUUCCUUGUCGGGUAAGUUCCGACCUGCACGAAUGG
rnacentral:rRNA from 1 species